CGGAGGCAGUGUGUAUGUGUAAGGAGGGGACGGGAGGGGAGGGGGGAGCUGGCAGGCAGCCAGCUACCAUCAGAAUUAGCUCAUUGUUCAAUAUAACCAGCGCUGGCAACCAAAUCCCAGCCCGAGAGAGAGGGAGACUUUCCCCCAGCUACCCCCCACCCCUUUUUCUCCACGGCUGCACUUUGGAAGAGAUCAUGUAGAAAGGACAGAAAGUGAGCAGGGAGCGGGGGCUUUUGUCUAUUCUUGUGCUACCUGAGAGAAACUGCAAUCCCGAGACUUAACAGAAUCUAAAAAUGAUUUUCAAGAAAAUGGAGUAAAGAAUUGAAAAUAUGUUAUUUACAGGUUAUAACUUCUUAUAUGAGGUUGGCCUCAAUUUUUGCUCAGAAACUGUUUGUUGUUAUAGAACACUGCCUCAGACAUGUCCUGGAUGAGUGGGUUUCUUUUUCCCCAGCUCCUCAAAGUGAAAGUGAAGCAUUUUGUGUAUCACAUGUUCUGCCGGAAGGAUUUCUUCCAAGGCUAAUAAUGCCAUUAGUCAGAUAUUUAGGGGUGAUCCACUUUGACAAUUUAUGGUUGAACUUUACUAGCUUGGUAUUUCCCUAAUGAGUGAGGCUAUCAAUUUGAGUAAGCAUAGUGCUCUUUCGCUUCAUUUAGACUUGCAGAACUUCAAUUCUCAAUGUAUUUUAAAGUUCAGUAAUUCUUUUCUAAAUCCUGAUGUUAUUGCUAUUUAAGCCAAGCUUGUACUCUCAUAGUAGUCAUACAGGAAAUACUAAGAAAUGAAAGGAUGGUGUGUAUCAGUGAAAGCAUUUAUCUAGAAGUGUUUGCUUCAUGGUAAUGGCUGCAGUGCAGUAAGCCUUACAUCCUAUUUUGUAAUGAAGCAUUGAUUUGCACUUUUUCUCUCCCUGUAGAUCAUCUUUCAUCUUGCAGUUAAUAUCAGUUGUUUUGAGAUGUUGUCGUUGACUUGAUGUGCUUGCUGUGUUAUUUAUAGCAUCAGUAUAUUUGAACAUAAAAAAAGUUUCUGCAUGGCAAAAUACCAAGAUGUCUUUUUUUUUCAGCUCUUGUGGAUUAUACAAAUUCCUGAGUGGACUUUUCCAUGUGGGCAACUUUUUUCAUUCCAGAAACUUCUUCUACUUAGCCAGAGUCCAAACCGUGAUUCUCUGGCCUUUCAAUGUUUUUCAAAAGACAGCUGGUGAAAACCCUUUGUCAGCACAGUUCAGGACUUAGCAGCAUGUGGAGGAGGUCCAUGUGCUUUUUAUCUUACAAUGAUGGCCACAGUAGUUGCUUUUGAAAAACAUAUUAAGAGUAGGACAGUACUAAAAUAUCUCUUCUUGGAGGAAACUGAUGUGAAAGAUAGCUGGAGAUAGCUGGGGUAAACAUCGUAUGGUGUUUUUAUGUCCUUUUAUGUCAGGUGCUAUUUUAUUUCUAUUAAACUAGUACUAUAGAGUACAAGAGCUAUGGGCUAACGUGAAUCUGGUUCAUACUCAUUGGAAAAUACACAAAUUCAUCCUCAUCAUAAUGAAUAAUGUUUUUUCUUCCUUAUUCUUUCCUUCUGUCAGAAAAUACACAUUUUUGUGAACUUGCCCAUUUUAUGUGCAUGCCUUGCUGCUUCAUGUCAUGGGCUUUCACACAAUGAAUAUGACUACAUAAAUAAUAUAAAGGCAUAGGUGAGGGUUGCAUAGUCAGUGAUUAUAAAUAUCAACAGAAGAGAUCAGGGUUUGCUUGUUAUCUUUCAUUAGUGUCUUAGAGAAUUAAGGUGAACAUCAGCUGAUGAAUUCACAGAGCACUUUCUGUGUUAUCCUGUGUCAGCCGUAGUCGGGGAGCUUGACUGACUUUUUCGAGAUCAUGCAGUAGUCCCAAGUAUGAAAUAAAUCCUGAUGCUCUAAUCAGUAGGCAGCACUGCGUUUUGCACUGUGGAAAAUUGUAGACGAAUGUAGAAUAGCAGGCAUUGCCUUAGGCCAUGUGCUUCACAUUUCCCUCCUUCAUUUCCUACUAUAUAGAGUUCUGAAUUUUCUCUUCAAAAGAUGAUUUAAAUAAUCUUCAAAUAAUUUCUCCAAGCUAUGUCUAGUCCAGUUGUGGCAACUACUCAAAGUGCAACUCUCUAGAAAUGAAAACAUUUCUCGGGUUUCAAUACAAAUACAGUGGCAUACAGGUGAAUUAAUCCUGUCUGCCAGGAAUUUCAUGGACAACACAAAUUUUUAUUCCCAAAGUGUGAACAAGUUUGAAUGCUGUAAUUUAUAUGUUUGGCUUGAAACAGUUUUAUGUUCAAGCACCUUGCAGAAAGAGUUCUAUUCUUUAAACCAAAGGCCCAGCAGGCAGACCCAGCAGGGAAAGAAACUUAAGGUCUUCAGUGUUGCAUACAACUUGUAAUUGAUCGCUUUAGAGCUUAAGGAGAGUGAGAUGGAAAAGUGUUCUGUCUUCAUCCUGAAGAUGAGGAUCUGAGGCACAGGAAGUUUCCAGCUCAGACUCAUGGUAGUAGCUGAAGUGUAUUCGCUUGGCAUUUGCUCCAGCUGCCCACAGUAGAAAGCUGCCUACCUUGAAUCUCACCCAUUUUCUGGUAAGUUAACCUCUUAUUUGUGGAGAAGGCCUUGGAGAAGCAUGCUCUUCUCAGGCAGGAUAAAUCAGACCACUUCUCCUAUGGUUGUGUAUGAAGCUCUGCCACAGAGCAGUGGUAGGUUGGUACCUUAACCACUAAAUCCUGCUGACAGCUCAUUUAUCCUACAUAUUAUAGAAUAUGUUGGAGUUCCUUUAAAGUCUGAAAUAUUGGAUGGUAACACAAGAUUAUAGCAAUGCUCAAUGUACUUAAUGCUUAAUGUACUUAUUAAGUUCCAGUUCACAGUUCAGUAUGAAAGGAUUUUAUUAAGUUCCAGUUCACAGUUCAGUGUGAAAGGAUUAUCAAAGUUGUGUUCCCCUUGUCUCAUGUAGUUGUCAGCAAAGUUAAUCAUCUUCAUUAUCUUCAUUCAUUUUAAUUCAUCCCUCUCUUCCUAAAAUUGUAUGUAUUUGCAUUG